rnacentral:rRNA from 1 species
UACGGAAGGCAGCAGUGGGGAAUAUUGCACAAUGGGCGAAAGCCUGAUGCAGCUAUGCCGCGUGUAUGAAGAAGGCCUUAGGGUUGUAAAGUACUUUCAUCGGGGAGGAAAAAACAAAACUAAUAAUUUUAUUUCUUGACGUUACCCGAAAAAGAAGCACCGGCUAACUCUGUGCCAGCAGCCGCGGUAAUACGGAGGGUGCUAGCGUUAAUCAGAAUUACUGGGCGUAAAGAGCACGUAGGUGGUUUUUUUAAGUCAGAUGUGAAAUCCCUGGGCUUAACCUAGGAACUGCAUUUUGAAACUGAAAUACUAGAGUAUCGUAGAGGGAGGUAGAAUUCUAGGUGUAGCGGUGAAAUGCGUAGAUAUCUGGAGGAAUACCUGUGGCGAAAGCGGCCUCCUAAACGAAUACUGACACUGAGGUGCGAAAGCGUGGGGAGCAAACAGGGAUUAGAUACC